AUACUUACCUGGCAGGAGUGACUCCAUGGUCCUGUAGGUGGAUCACCCAGGGUGAGAUCAGCCAUUGCACUGCAGCGAUCUGACCUCUGUGAAUUCUCCACAUGGGAGAAUCUCAACUGCACAAUUUAUGGUAGUGGGGGACUGCGUUCGCGCUCUCCCCUG
ensembl:snRNA U1 U1 spliceosomal RNA